rnacentral:sRNA from 1 species
AGACACAUCAAAUAAUAAAUACAGUUUAAAAUAAAAGGCGCAGUUUUCUGCGCCUUUUUU